CCGUGGCACGUGGGAGACGAGACAAACAUCAAUUUGGACGCGCGCGCGGCCAAAUUGUUGGCAUAGUCUCUUACAACCCAAACCCCCCAUCCUUGCCUAACACGCACCGUUUGUUUCCUCGGCGGGCCCGCCCGCCGCAGGACCCCCCUUUGAAACGCUUUUGCAAAACCACGCAGUCGUUCGUCUGAGCGGAGUUUUUAUUCGCAAUCAAAUCA
rnacentral:misc_RNA from 1 species